rnacentral:rRNA from 1 species
UACGUAGGGUGCAAGCGUUAAUCGGAAUUACUGGGCGUAAAGCGUGCGCAGGCGGUUUUGUAAGUCUGUCGUGAAAGCCCCGGGCUCAACCUGGGAAUUGCGUUGGAGACUGCAAGGCUAGAAUCUGGCAGAGGGGGGUAGAAUUCCACGUGUAGCAGUGAAAUGCGUAGAGAUGUGGAGGAACACCGAUGGCGAAGGCAGCCCCCUGGGUCAAGAUUGACGCUCAUGCACGAAAGCGUGGGGAGCGAACAGG